AUACGGAGGAUCCGAGCGUUAUCCGGAUUCAUUGGGUUUAAAGGGUGCGCAGGCGGCCAUUUAAGUCAGCGGUUAAAUCGUGGGGCUCAACCCCAUUCUGCCGUUGAUACUGGGUGGCUUGAUUGCGGUCGAGGUUGGCGGAAUUCGUUGUGUAGCGGUGAAAUGCAUAGAUAUGACGAAGAACACCGAUUGCGUAGGCAGCUGACCAGAUCGCAAAUGACGCUCAUGCACGAAAGUGCGGGGAUCGAACAGGAUUAGAUACCCUGGUAGUCCGCACAGUAAACGAUGAAUACUUGUUUUCGGCGAUAUAAUGUCGGAGGCAAAGCGAAAGCGAUAAGUAUUCCACCUGGGGAGUACGCCGGCAACGGUGAAACUCAAAUGAAUUGACGGGG
rnacentral:rRNA from 1 species